GACUUCUGGCACUGUUUCCUGCUCCUGGAAACAGGGAGUGGAGAAGCUUCUCGAUUGGAAGCCGCUGCCGUCAAUUGUGGCCGAGCGGGCGGGACUUCCUGCCAAGCCCCCCAGAGUCUCUCUGCUGCUGCCGCAAGCGCCGCUGGCCCGGGGACCACAGAUUGGAAGCAGGCAGUCACUGGUCGUGGACAGGAAGACUCUCUCCGGCCAUCUCAGGUGUUCCUGUAUAAAACUGUGCCAACUCGUUUGCUGUCACGUGCCUGUGGUCGCCUCAACCAAGUAGAACUUCCUUACUGGCUCCGGAGGCCAGUCUACAGCCUGUAUAUCUGGACCUUUGGGGUGAACAUGACUGAGGCUGCAGUGGAGGACCUGCACCACUACCACAACCUCAGCGAGUUCUUCUGGCGUAAGCUGAAGCCUCAGGCACAGCCUGUCUGCGAUUUGCACUGUGUGACCAGCCCAUCAAAUGGCAAGAUCCUCACCUUUGGGCAGGUGAAGAACUCUGAGGUGGAGCAGGUAAAGGGCGUAACCUACUCCUUGGAGUCCUUCCUGGGCCCUCGAGCCAGUACAGAAGACCUGCCCUUCCCUCCAGGUGGGUCAUUGCUUAGUCAGUACCACGGCACUCAGGUCGAGUCAGUUUGUCAGGCAGGGAUGCCUAAAAGCUGCUCAUGAAGCAAAAAGAGUUUCACGGAAACUCGCUCCUGGAGUCUGGCGUGCUCUCUAAAUUUUCCAUUCCCGCGUUAGUCUAGUGGAUGGAUCCUUGUGCUCUCUUUAUUAUAAGUGCCUUUUAAGAUUGAAUUCUGACAUAGCUAAAGCCUUCUGCCAGUGUUCCAACAGUCCUAGAACGUCCUUGAGCUAGACAGUGACAUUCAGAAUAGCCUCUGGUAUUACACUAUUAAUAAAAGCCAAGUAGCUCCCAUAUACAGGAAUUUACAAUGGUUUAGGAAGUAGAUCGGGCUGUGGUUUUAGAGUAUUGCAUUAUUCAUGAGAUGGUUAGCUAGAACAGAACUCCCUAGUUAGAACCAUGACUUGGGUGUAAAAGCCCUUGCCCUAGGAGAGUAAAGACCUCACACCUGGCUUCUAGACUAUCUCUGAGUUACACCCAUACACAAGUAUUUACAAUGGCCUAAGGGGAAGGUGGACUAUACAAUAGACUAAAAUAGGAACUAUGGCAAGGGCAUGAAGCCCUUGACCCUGGCUUCUAAGAUUAAGUGAAUCUUAGGUGGAGCCCUUUUUGAUCCCAGUUGUUAACAAUGAAUUCUAUCCCAGGUGGUUCCUGUUAGACCUUCUGUGUUUACAUUCCUCUGUUUUAUGUAAGAAUCCAGUAACCUCUUUGUACCUUUCGAGUGUGUCACCCAAUUUCCUUAUUGUCUUCUGUAUAAAAAGUGUGAUGCUCGAUUUGACAUUACAUUCAGAUCCAACAC
rnacentral:lncRNA from 1 species